GAUGAACGCUGGCGGCGUGCUUAACACAUGCAAGUCGAACGGGAAACCUUUUAUUGAAGCUUCGGCAGAUUUAGCUGGUUUCUAGUGGCGGACGGGUGAGUAACACGUAGUUAACCUGCCUUAUACAGGGGGAUAACAACCAGAAAUGGUUGCUAAUACCGCAUAAGCGCACGGGACCGCAUGUUCCGGUGUGCACAACUCGGGUGGUAUAAGAGGGACCCGCGUUGGAGCAGCUAGUUGGCAGGGUAACGGCCUACCAAGGCGACGAUCCAUAGCCGGCCUGAGAGGGUGAGCGGACACAUUGGGACUGAGACACGGCCCGGACUCCUACGGGAGGCAGGAGAGGGGAAUAUUGCACAAUGGGGGAAACCCUGAUGCAGCGACGCCGCGUGAAGGAAGAAGUAGCUCGGGAUGUAAACUUCUAUCAGCAGGGAAGAUAGUGACGGUACCUGACGAAGAAGCCCCGGCUAACUACGUG
rnacentral:rRNA from 1 species